UGCCAGAAUGGAAUUGUCCACGUGUUGAGAUGUCCGCAUAUAUAAAAACGGAUUUAAUUAUCAAAUGGCAAACUUGGACUGAAAACUGGAAAU